rnacentral:rRNA from 1 species
GUAGGUGGCAAGCGUUGUCCGGAAUUAUUGGGCGUAAAGCGCGCGCAGGCGGGGUCCUUUAAGUCUGAUGUGAAAGCCCACGGGCUCAACCGUGGAGGGUCAUUGGGAACUGGGGGACUUGAGUACAGAAGAGGAAAGCGGAAUUCCAAGUGUAGCGGUGAAAUGCGUAGAGAUUUGGAGGAACACCAGUGGCGAAGGCGGCUUUCUGGUCUGUAACUGACGCUGAGGCGCGAAAGCGUGGGGAGCAAACAGGAUUAGAUACCCUGGUAGUCCACGCCGUAAACGACGAGUGCUAAGUGUUAGGGGGUUUCCGCCCCUUAGUGCUGCAGCUAACGCAUUAAGCACUCCGCCUGGGGAGUACGGCCGCAAAGGCUG